UACGUAGGGGGCGAGCGUUGUCCGGAUUUAUUGGGCGUAAAGCGCGUGUAGGCGGCUUCGCAAGUUGGAUGUGAAAGCCCACGGCUCAACCGUGGAAGCGCAUCCAAAACUGCGUCGCUGGAGUCCCGGAGAGGAAGGUGGAAUGCUUGGUGUAGAGGUGAAAUUCGUAGAUAUCAAGCAGAACACCUGCGGCGAAGGCGGCCUUCUGGACGGUGACUGACGCUGAGACGCGAAAGCGUGGGGAGCAAACAGG
rnacentral:rRNA from 1 species